rnacentral:rRNA from 1 species
GACGAACGCUGGCGGCGUGCUUAACACAUGCAAGUCGAGCGGUAAGGCCCUUUCGGGGGUACACGAGCGGCGAACGGGUGAGUAACACGUGGGUGACCUGCCCUUAGCUCUGGGAUAAGCCUGGGAAACUGGGUCUAAUACCGGAUAUGACCUCAUGACUCAUGUUGUGGGGUGGAAAGCCUUGUGCGGCUAGGGAUGGGCCCGCGGUCUAUCAGCUUGUUGGUGGGGUAAUUGCCUACCAAGGCGACGACGGGUAGCCGGCCUGAGAGGGCGACCGGCCACACUGGGACUGAGACACGGCCCAGACUCCUACGGGAGGCAGCGAGUGGGGAAUCUUGCGCAAUGGGCGAAAGCCUGACGCAGCGACGCCGCGUGAGGGAUGACGGCCU